rnacentral:rRNA from 1 species
AACGAACGCUGGCGGCAUGCCUAACACAUGCAAGUCGAACGAGACCUUCGGGUCUAGUGGCGCACGGGUGCGUAACGCGUGGGAACCUGCCCUUAGGUUCGGAAUAACUCCCCGAAAGGGGUGCUAAUACCGGAUAAUGUCUUCGGACCAAAGAUUUAUCGCCUUUGGAUGGGCCCGCGUUGGAUUAGCUAGUUGGUAGGGUAAAAGCCUACCAAGGCGACGAUCCAUAGCUGGUCUGAGAGGACGAUCAACCACACUGGGACUGAGACACGGCCCAGACUCCUACGGGAGGCAGCAGUGGGGAAUAUUGGACAAUGGGCGAAAGCCUGAUCCAGCAAUGCCGCGUGAGUGAUGAAGGCCUUAGGGUUGUAAAGCUCUUUUACCCGGGAUGAUAAUGACAGUACCGGGAGAAUAAGCUCCGGCUAACUCCGUG